rnacentral:rRNA from 1 species
GAUGAACGCUAGCGGCAGGCCUAACACAUGCAAGUCGAGGGGUAACUAGAGUGAUAGCAAUAUUACUUUGGCUAGACCGGCGCACGGGUGCGUAACACGUAUGCAACCUACCUUAUACUGGGGAAUAACUUCGAGAAAUCGGCGCUAAUACCCCAUAACAUUGCGAAGAGGCAUCUCUUUGCAAUUAAAGCUCCGGCGGUAUAAGAUGGGCAUGCGUCCAAUUAGCUAGUUGGUGAGGUAACGGCUCACCAAGGCUACGAUGGGUAGGGGUUCUGAGAGGAGGAUCCCCCACACUGGUACUGAGACACGGACCAGACUCCUACGGGAGGCAGCAGUGAGGAAUAUUGCGCAAUGGACGAAAGUCUGACGCAGCCAUGCCGCGUGCAGGAUGACGGCCCUAUGGGUUGUAAACUGCUUUUGUACGGGAAUAAACCCUUCUACGUGUAGGAGGCUGAAGGUACCGUAAGAAUAAGCACCGGCUAACUCCGUGCCAGCCGCCGCGGUAACAC